UACGGGAGGCAGCAGCGGGGAAUUUUGGACAAUGGGCGAAAGCCUGAUCCAGCAAUGCCGCGUGUGCGAAGAAGGCCUUCGGGUUGUAAAGCUCUUUUGUCGGGGACGAAACGGUUACGAUUAAUACUCGUGACAACUGACGGUACCCGAAGAAUAAGCACCGGCUAACUACGUGCCAGCAGCCGCGGUAAUACGUAGGGUGCGAGCGUUAAUCGGAAUUACUGGGCGUAAAGCGUGCGCAGGCGGUUUUGUAAGCCAGAUGUGAAAUCCCCGGGCUUAACCUGGGAAUGGCAUUUGGGACUGCAAGGCUAGAGUAUGGCAGAGGAGACUAGAAUUUCUGGUGUAGCAGUGAAAUGCGUAGAUAUCAGAAGGAAUACCGAUGGCGAAGGCAGGUCUCUGGGUCAAUACUGACGCUCAUGCACGAAAGCGUGGGGAGCAAACAGGAUUAGAUACCCUGGUAGUCCACGCCCUAAACGAUGUCAACUGGUUGUUGGGAGAUUUAUUCUCUUAGUAACGAAGCUAACGCGUGAAGUUGACCGCCUGGGGAGUACGGUCGCAAGAUUAAAACUCAAAGGAAUUGACGGGGA
rnacentral:rRNA from 1 species